CUGAAUAAUAGCCUUCUAAAACCAUCCACAUCCCAACCCCCAGAACCUGUGAACACCUUAAUUUACAUGCCAAAAGGGUUUUGCAGCUGGGAUUAAGUUUAGCAUUCGGGGAUGGGGAAAUGAUCUUGGAUGACCCACGUGAGCCCAAUGUAAUCACAGCGUCCUUGUAAGAGAGAAGCAGGAGGAUCAGUCAGAGGAAGGAGAUGUAAAAAUGGAGAGGGUCAGAGAGGAGAGGAAAUGCUACCCUGUAGCUUUGAAUACGGAGAAGAGUCUAGGAAUGCUGACAAUCUCUAGAAGCUGAAGGAGAGAAAGAAGUAAAGACAAGAAAGCAGAUUCUCCCCAGAGCCUCCAGAGUGGAACGUAGCCUUAUCAACAUCCUGACUCUAGCAAGGAAAUAUCCAGAAUCAACAAAUUCCUGAAGACAGAAAGCAGAUCGACGGUUGCCAGGCAAUGGAAGGAGAGGAGAUGGGGUGACUUUUUAAUAGACAGAAGAUUUCCUUUGGAUCAAAGAAAAUAUUCAGAGACUGAAAUAGUGGUGAGGGUUACACAACCUUGUGAACAAACUGAAUGUCUUUAAUGGACCUGAGAGAGGGAGACAGAAGGUCAAUCCCAGUGGUGAAGGGGACACUGGUGCCUUCUCACGGAAAGCGGUCACUGUGUUGUGUCUGUCUUCAGAGGCAUGACAGCCAGUGGCAAUUGUAGCUCCACCCACUUGGAGCCCAGAUCUACAGAGUCAGCACUGAAUCUCCUGCCUGUAGCAAUAUGGUGGUCAACCUGGACUGCACACGGGGCUGCACUCCAGAAUGUUUAUGGUGCUGGUAAGGGAACUAGCAUGUCACGUGUGGCAAAGCCCACUGACCACAAUUGCCUACAAGACGCAUCUUCCUCUACCCUCACAGGAAGUGACACUGUGGAGGGCUCAUCCCCCGCUUGUUGGCCACUUCUGAACCUCAGGGGUGUGGGUUAUAGCCGUCUAACUGUAACAGUGCAUUGCUAGGUGAUUUCCUGACAGGCUGACUCUGCCAACAAAAGGCUGAAGCUCUAUUGUGGCUGAGAAUGAGAAGGACUCUGACAUGACCACAUUUAAAUAAACAUUUUCUGCCCCAUAGAUUCUGUUAGCAACAGUGAUGUCAAGCCUUUAAAGGUGUUGUCCCUCGUCUAGCUCUAUUUCCACAGGAUAAUGUUAAGGAACAAUGCAACUC
ensembl:lncRNA